rnacentral:rRNA from 1 species
GGCGGUGGUUUAACUUAAUCGAGGAAUUUGCCCNUGUAAUCGAUAGCUCCUCGUUGUAUUUUGCUUACAGUAGUUGUCANCGUUGACCGCCGNCAUCAGGNANUUUUCAGANAGUAUUUUCNGGANCUUAUAAGACAGUAUGUCAGNCACGGUGCAGCCCAUAUUUAAGAAGAGGUGAAUUACAAUAAAUUAAUUANCACGGAAGGUUUGGUGAAACCCGAGCCUGAAGGUGGAUU